rnacentral:rRNA from 1 species
UGGGGGGGGUGCUAUACAUGCAAGUCGAGCGGACAGAAGGGAGCUUGCUCCCGGAUGUUAGCGGCGGACGGGUGAGUAACACGUGGGUAACCUGCCUGUAAGACUGGGAUAACUCCGGGAAACCGGAGCUAAUACCGGAUAGUUCCUUGAACCGCAUGGUUCAAGGAUGAAAGACGGUUUCGGCUGUCACUUACAGAUGGACCCGCGGCGCAUUAGCUAGUUGGUGGGGUAAUGGCUCACCAAGGCGACGAUGCGUAGCCGACCUGAGAGGGUGAUCGGCCACACUGGGACUGAGACACGGCCCAGACUCCUACGGGAGGCAGCAGUAGGGAAUCUUCCGCAAUGGACGAAAGUCUGACGGAGCAACGCCGCGUGAGUGAUGAAGGUUUUCGGAUCGUAAAGCUCUGUUGUUAGGGAAGAACAAGUGCGAGAGUAACUGCUCGCACCUUGACGGUACCUAACCAGAAAGCCACGGCUAACUACGUGCCAGCAGCCGCGGUAAUACGUAGGUGGCAAGCGUUGUCCGGAAUUAUUGGGCGUAAAGGGCUCGCAGGCGGUUUCUUAAGUCUGAUGUGAAAGCCCCCGGCUCAACCGGGGAGGGUCAUUGGAAACUGGGAAACUUGAGUGCAGAAGAGGAGAGUGGAAUUCCACGUGUAGCGGUGAAAUGCGUAGAGAUGUGGAGGAACACCAGUGGCGAAGGCGACUCUCUGGUCUGUAACUGACGCUGAGGAGCGAAAGCGUGGGGAGCGAACAGGAUUAGAUACCCUGGUAGUCCACGCCGUAAACGAUGAGUGCUAAGUGUUAGGGGGUUUCCGCCCCUUAGUGCUGCAGCUAACGCAUUAAGCACUCCGCCUGGGGAGUACGGUCGCAAGACUGAAACUCAAAGGAAUUGACGGGGGCCCGCACAAGCGGUGGAGCAUGUGGUUUAAUUCGAAGCAACGCGAAGAACCUUACCAGGUCUUGACAUCCUCUGACAACCCUAGAGAUAGGGCUUUCCCUUCGGGGACAGAGUGACAGGUGGUGCAUGGUUGUCGUCAGCUCGUGUCGUGAGAUGUUGGGUAGUCCCGCACGAGCGCACCCUUGAUCUAGUGCCAGCAUUCAGUUGGGCACUCUAAGGUGACUGCCGGGUGACAAA